rnacentral:tRNA from 1 species
GAGGGUAUAGCUCAGUGGUAGAGCACAUGCUUAGCAUGCAUGAGGUCCUGGGUUCAAUCCCCAGAACCUCCA